rnacentral:misc_RNA from 1 species
GAAAUGCGAUAAGUAAUGUGAAUUGCAGAAUUCAGUGAAUCAUCGAAUCUUUGAACGCACCUUGCGCCCUUUGGUAUUCCGAAGGGCAUGCCUGUUUGAGUGUCAUUAAAUUCUCAACCUUGUUCGCUUUUAUUAGCUUGAGCAAGGCUUGGAUGUGAGGGCUUGCUGGCUUCCUUCAGUGGAUGGUCUGCUCCCUUUAAAUGUAUUAGUGGGAUCUCUUGUGGACCGUCACUUGGUGUGAUAAUUAUCUAUGCCAUUUGACUUUGAAGCAAAUCUUAUGGGAAUCCGCUUAUAACCGUCUCGCAAGGGACAACUCUUGACAUUUUGACCUCAAAUCAGGUAGGACUACCCGCUGAACUUAA